UUGGUUAGGAUUUGGUUUAGAGUUUGGUUUAGGAUUUAAGAUUUUUUUAGGAUUUGAUUUAGGAUUUAGGAUUUAUCCAAGGUUUAAUUUAGGAUCUAGGUUUGAUUUAGGAUUUAAAAUUUAUCUAAGAUUUGGUCUACAAUUUAAGAUUUAUUUAGGGUUUGAAUAAAGUCCAUUAAGAUUUUAAUUAGGAUUAAAUUAGAAUUUAGUUGA
rnacentral:lncRNA from 1 species